CCCUACGGGGCGCAGCAGUGAGGAAUAUUGGUCAAUGGGCGAGAGCCUGAACCAGCCAAGUCGCGUGAGGGAAGACGGUCCUAUGGAUUGUAAACCUCUUUUGCCGGGGAGCAAAAAGCGGUACGUGUACCGCAUCGAGAGUACCCGGAGAAAAAGCAUCGGCUAACUCCGUGCCAGCAGCCGCGGUAAUACGGAGGAUGCGAGCGUUAUCCGGAUUUAUUGGGUUUAAAGGGUGCGCAGGCGGCGAGUUAAGUCAGCGGUAAAAUUUCGUGGCUCAACCCUGACGAGCCGUUGAAACUGGCUUG
rnacentral:rRNA from 1 species